GAUGAACGCUAGCUACAGGCUUAACACAUGCAAGUCGAGGGGCAGCAUUUUAGUUUGCUUGCAAACUAAAGAUGGCGACCGGCGCACGGGUGAGUAACACGUAUCCAACCUGCCGAUAACUCGGGGAUAGCCUUUCGAAAGAAAGAUUAAUAUCCGAUGGUAUAUUAAAACCGCAUGGUUUUACUAUUAAAGAAUUUCGGUUAUCGAUGGGGAUGCGUUCCAUUAGUUUGUUGGCGGGGUAACGGCCCACCAAGACUACGAUGGAUAGGGGUUCUGAGAGGAAGGUCCCCCACAUUGGAACUGAGACACGGUCCAAACUCCUACGGGAGGCAGCAGUGAGGAAUAUUGGUCAAUGGACGAGAGUCUGAACCAGCCAAGUAGCGUGAAGGAUGACUGCCCUAUGGGUUGUAAACUUCUUUUAUAUGGGAAUAAAGUAUUCCACGUGUGGGAUUUUGUAUGUACCAUAUGAAUAAGGAUCGGCUAACUCCGUGCCAGCAGCCGCGGUAAUACGGAGGAUCCGAGCGUUAUCCGGAUUUAUUGGGUUUAAAGGGAGCGUAGGUGGAUUGUUAAGUCAGUUGUGAAAGUUUGCGGCUCAACCGUAAAAUUGCAGUUGAAACUGGCAGUCUUGAGUACAGUAGAGGUGGGCGGAAUUCGUGGUGUAGCGGUGAAAUGCUUAGAUAUCACGAAGAACUCCGAUUGCGAAGGCAGCUCACUAGACUGCAACUGACACUGAUGCUCGAAAGUGUGGGUAUCAAACAGGAUUAGAUACCCUGGUAGUCCACACAGUAAACGAUGAAUACUCGCUGUUUGCGAUAUACAGUAAGCGGCCAAGCGAAAGCAUUAAGUAUUCCACCUGGGGAGUACGCCGGCAACGGUGAAACUCAAAGGAAUUGACGGGGGCCCGCACAAGCGGAGGAACAUGUGGUUUAAUUCGAUGAUACGCGAGGAACCUUACCCGGGCUUAAAUUGCAUUUGAAUAGUCUGGAAACAGGUUAGCCGCAAGGCAAAUGUGAAGGUGCUGCAUGGUUGUCGUCAGCUCGUGCCGUGAGGUGUCGGCUUAAGUGCCAUAACGAGCGCAACCCUUAUCUUUAGUUACUAACAGGUCAUGCUGAGGACUCUAGAGAGACUGCCGUCGUAAGAUGUGAGGAAGGUGGGGAUGACGUCAAAUCAGCACGGCCCUUACGUCCGGGGCUACACACGUGUUACAAUGGGGGGUACAGAAGGCAGCUACCUGGCGACAGGAUGCUAAUCCCAAAAACCUCUCUCAGUUCGGAUCGAAGUCUGCAACCCGACUUCGUGAAGCUGGAUUCGCUAGUAAUCGCGCAUCAGCCAUGGCGCGGUGAAUACGUUCCCGGGCCU
rnacentral:rRNA from 1 species